rnacentral:lncRNA from 1 species
GAAUUCUCUCUCCCUCACCGCCCCCACCCUCCCAUGCGCGCGCGCGCGCACACGCGCGCGCACACACACACACACACACACACACGUGCAUGAGCACAGGAAAGAGGAACCAUGCCUGGCUCCCAGCUCAGGGCUGCAGCCACCUUGCUGUGUGCAUCCCACACACAGAGCAUUCCAUCCCCCCAAAGCUGUGACCUCCCCAACCCAACAGCCCAAAGCAAUUACUAGCACCCAAUUAAUCAACUCUUCCUAGACAUUGAACUCCUAGUCAGAGCAGCAGGGGCACGCUGAGGCCUGCCUGAAAACACAAAAGGGAGUUGCUUUAAGUGUUCUGAGCUGGGGCACUGCAGAGGCAGAUUUUUCCCCCUUUUCAGCUGCUUAAAGCGACAGAACCUUCUAGAGCUCUGUGCCCCCGCCAGGGAGCGGGAAUCUCAUCAGAUGGAGUUGGUCCCCACUACCUGCCCAGCAAGGAUUUUCCAGGCAAACAUUGCUUUCAAGUGGUGAAAGUAGUAGCAAUUGUCAGUUAAGAAACACCUACUAUGUGCCAGGCACUGACUCUCCAUGAUCAAUUUCCACUUGAGCUAGGUGCCAUUGUUCGGGCUUUACAGACAAGGCAACUAAAAGUUGGUGACAUCAAGAAAUUGGCUGUAUGGCAGCUGGUUAGCUCAGUUGGUUAGAGCAUAGUGCUAAUAAAAAAUUGGCUGAAACUCACACAGCUGGCGAGUGACCUGCCCACGUUAGGUUGUAACCGCAACCCCUGUGUCAUCAUGACCAUGAUGGAACCUCCAGGUUUCCUGGGACUGCUGGGACAAAUUACCAUGAACUUGGUGGUGUAAGACAACAGAAACUUGUUUCCUCACAGUUGUGGAGGGCAGAAUCCACUAUCAAGGUGCCAGCAGAGCUGUGCCCCCUCCAAAGGCUUCUCCCGGGUCCUGAUGGCUCCAGGCUGGUGGCAGCAUAACUCCAGUCCGUGCCUCUGUCAUCACAUGGCUUUUCCCUCUGCGUGCCUGGGUUUUCUUUUCUGUCUCUUAUAAGGACGGUCGUUGUUGGACUUAGGUCCCAUCCUCAUGAUCCAGGGUGAUCUUGAAGUCUGUGUCUAAAUGGCAUCUACAAAACCCUAUUUCCAAAAAUGAUCACAUUCAGAGGCCACAGGGGCCACUAAUCAUCUCCCUGCGCUCUGCGAGGACAAGGAUUUUGCCUUUCGUUUGCUGACGUAUUCCAGGUGACUAGAACAGUGGCUGAUUCGUAACAGGUGUUCAAUAGAACUUCCUGAAGGUGCAAAUGAAUGCGCGAAUAACCGAGGUGACAGAGCUGAGACUCAAAACCUGGUUAGCUGGACUCUGAAACCUCUUCCUUGAGGCUCCCUCUGUUUCCUAGACUCCUAGCCGUCAACAACUCAAUACCUUUCUUUUAAAAGAGACUUUAUUUUUCUGAAUCUAACCAUGAGGAAACAUCACACCAUUCCAACUGGGGGGGUGCAUCCUACGAAAUAAUGGACCUAGGCUCUACAAAGGCAUCAAGGUCACGAACGACUAGAGAAGGCUGAGAACAAAGACGCAACUGGUAAAUGCAACACAUGACCCUGGCUUGGAUCCUGGAUGGGGAAAAGUAGCUACAAAGGACAUUAUUGAAACAAGUGGUAAAAAUGUGCCAUGGAACUCCCAGAUUGGCUAAUAGCACUAUGACUCCAUGUGUAUGUAUGUGUGUGUGUGGGUGUGUGUGUGUGUGUGUACACACAGGAAUGAAUGGUAACAUUAACAUGACAGAAUGUUGACAAUUGAUGAAUCUGGAUGAAGCAUAUGAGGGAUCUCUUUGUGCUUUUCUUGCAAUGCUUCUGCAAUUUGAAAUUAUUUUUAUUUUUUAUUUUUUAUUUUUUAUUUUACUUUUUAUGUCCACACCCACAGCACGUGGAAGUUAUCAAGCCAGGGAUUGAAUCCGCACCACAGUGGCAGCCUGAGCCACAGAAGUGACAAUACCAGAUCCUUAACCUGCUGGGCCACCAGGGAACUUCUGAAAUUGUUUUUAAAAACGAUAUUAGGAGUUCCCGUUGUGGCACAGUGGUUAACGAAUCCGACUAGGAACCAUGAGGUUGCGGGUUCGGUCCCUGCCCUUGCUCAGUGGGUUAACGAUCCGGCGUUGCCGUGAGCUGUGGUGUAGGUUGCAGACGUGGCUCGGAUCCCGCGUUGCUGUGGCUCUGGCGUAGGCUGGUGGCUACAGCUCCGAUUCGACCCCUAGCCUGGGAACCUCCAUAUGCCGCGGGAGCGGCCCAAGAAAUAGCAACAAC